rfam:Metarhizium acridum CQMa 102 unplaced genomic scaffold Scf_032, whole genome shotgun sequence.
GCCCGGUUAGCUCAAUCGGUAGAGCGUGAGACUCUUAAGAGUACACGAAAUCUCAAGGUUGCGGGUUCGACCCCCGCAUCGGGCU